GUCUCGCAAGGCGCACUGCAAAAAUUUUCACGAACACAGCCAAUCGUGCGCACGGAAUGGCGGAAUGGCACUUCCCGCGCCCGGAGCUGUCUGCAGACGGGAGGACGGAAGUGUCGUCACCGGUUGUUUAAAGCCGAAAGCUUAUCGGUCAUUGGCUGUGUCGCAACGGUCGUAACAUAACAGUCGUAAAUGUUGCCGACCCUUUAACACUCUCACCCACGAUUUUUGCGAGAAUUGCGUACGUUGGUACGUUUACGUUCGCAGUCUGAACUAGACGCAUGCGCUUGUUGCGCUUCCGCUUACGUAUGUUACGAAAAAUCGGCGCCUUACGAACGUAGUCUGAACAUAGCAUUACACGAACAGAAAAAUUAUGAGCCAUCAAUAAAAGCAGCUUUCCUUCGUUCGUUUGCAUAGUCAGCAUGGGUGCUGCUUACAGUAAACGUUUCCUGCCGAAAUGUUCUUAAAUAUUUUUAGAGUUACGACUUAACCACAUCGAUGUGGUGAAGUACAUUGAAACUUGUCGGACUGAACGUUGCUUUGUCUUGCAGGGAUGAUAAAAUGGAAGACGAAGUGCUCCCUCGCGGGCAAGCUGUUCCAGACGACGCCCGCGAAAGAGACUUGGUAUUCCUGCUGGCCGACGCGAAUGCGACAACGGCCGAAGCCGCCGCGUUGGCCGCGAAGCCCACGGCGGCGGAUGAAUCGGAUGACGAUGACGAAGAAGGUGUCUCUGAAGACUCAGGGAGGACGACGUCAUAGCCCCCUCAGUUAUCCAGGAUGCUGCGCGUUUUCCUCCCUUCUACUGGAGAAAUUUCCAGUUCUUCUAUCACGUGGCAGCGACCCUUGGCUUCUUUUUCUCUAGCUAUAAGAAUCAAUCUUAAAGUUUAGCAUAUCAUACUUUUCAAAUUAAAAUUUACUAUACGGGGUUCACAUUAUUA